CCAUCGGGCGUGACGGUGCGCGGUGAUUCGGCGCGCGCGAGAGAGAAAGACAGCGACAGAGAACGCGAUCGGACACAUUGACGAACCCUCGUGUCUCGCAGACGUUCGUUCGGUAUCUCGCGUCGCGAUUGAUAAUAAUAAUAAUAAUAAUAAUAAUAAUAAUAAUAAAUAAUAAUAAUAUCGCGUCGCAAAUUCGCGCGUCCCGGAAGGAAGAAGAGCGCGUGUCUCUUUCUUUCUCUCUUACUCGGAGAAGAGCGUUGGAGGAGGAGGAAGAGGAAGAAGCGCGGCCUCGUGGACCCCGUGCGGCGGAUCGUGACCGCGAGACCGGAGGUGCGCGGUCGGCCAUUGUGCUUUCUUCGCGUGUCGCGCCGAUAGGACCGCUUGUCAAUCUCUCGCGGUGUGUGCUCUUGCUUCUGUGCGUCGGCUUAUACCGGGUAUCUACGAAGGAGAGAGAGAGAGCGCGACGCCGGCUACUAUAUCGGAGCUUCAUCUCGUCAUCUCUGCCGAACACAAUCUCCUCCUUCCUUCCCCUGUCACCGUCGUCUUCUUUCACGGUCGCCCAGUAUCGAGCAUGCCCGUGCACGGGAGCGGAUCCAGGAGGCGAUGCGCGAGAGUAACGCGUCGGUGAACGCGAGAAAGAAAUGAAAUGCGCGAGAGGAGCCACUAGGAAUCCACCGCCCUCGACGAAUGUCAUUCACCCUUCGCGCGCACCGUAAGAAGAAAAAAAGCAAAAGAAGAAACAGAGGCGCGCAGAAGGAGAAGGAGAGGGAAUCGGCGCGGAAGAAGAUCGAGUCAGAGAGAAGUGAAGUGAAAUCGGCACAUUCCCGCGUAAUUCGUCGUCGUUCCGAAUCCUCGUGUUUCGGCGAGCAGCAGCCAGCGCGCUUCGUUUCAUCUCGUCGUUUCGGCUCCGCUAGAAGAGUGAAAGGCACUUCGCCACACGUGGCGCCUCUCUCCGAGCGAGCGCAUCUCGGAUAUUUUCGCGAGGUCACACUUAAAGGAGCGCAACAUCCACGUAUAUAUAUCUUCGAAGACUUCUCGUCGUCCAUUAACGCCUCGCAUUUCGCCGUCUGAUUCUAUAAAAGACAGCCUUUGCGUCAUUUGUGACAUUCUCUCGCGGAUGCGCGGGAAUACAGAAAUCACUCUCGAUCGAU